rnacentral:rRNA from 1 species
AUUGAACGCUGGCGGCAGGCCUAACACAUGCAAGUCGAGCGGUAGAGAGAAGCUUGCUUCUCUUGAGAGCGGCGGACGGGUGAGUAAUACCUAGGAAUCUGCCUGAUAGUGGGGGAUAACGUUCGGAAACGGACGCUAAUACCGCAUACGUCCUACGGGAGAAAGCAGGGGACCUUCGGGCCUUGCGCUAUCAGAUGAGCCUAGGUCGGAUUAGCUAGUUGGUGAGGUAAUGGCUCACCAAGGCUACGAUCCGUAACUGGUCUGAGAGGAUGAUCAGUCACACUGGAACUGAGACACGGUCCAGACUCCUACGGGAGGCAGCAGUGGGGAAUAUUGGACAAUGGGCGAAAGCCUGAUCCAGCCAUGCCGCGUGUGUGAAGAAGGUCUUCGGAUUGUAAAGCACUUUAAGUUGGGAGGAAGGGCAUUAACCUAAUACGUUGGUGUCUUGACGUUACCGACAGAAUAAGCACCGGCUAACUCUGUGCCAGCAGCCGCGG